CGCGGGCCUGAGCCGCGCACCCUGGUAACGGCUGCUCCACGACUCCCGCGUCCUCCUCCAUGUCCCCGCCUUCCCUCGCGGUAGCCCGCCCCGUCUCCACCUCCCUCCGCAGCCCCGGCGGCGGCCGUCUCGCUCGGUCCCGGGUGCCGCCUGCGAGCGGGGCCCGAGGAUCUACGCUGCCCGCGACGCCCCCUCCGGGCGCGGGCUGAGGCGAGAGCGGGCCUGCUCCCCGGCCGUCGCCGCCGAACCCCGGAGCGUUCGCCCCGCGCAGUGUCGUCUGCGGCCUCCGGCCGGCGGGACCGCCCCGUCCCUGGAAGGGUGUGACCAGGGGGUUUCAGACAGGAGGCUGGCAGACGCCAGGGGUCGGGUCGGGGAGAGACCGUUUCGGCUCUUGCCUCCCAGACGUCGUUGCUCCGCGGGCCUCCCGGUGGGCCUCCCGGCGGGCGCGGACACAGGUGCCCCGGCCGGGGUCUAUCGGGAAGAUGGCGACCCCGGGCAUGAGCUGGCAGCAGCACUAUUACAGCGGCUCUGCAGCCGGGGCGGCCAAAUUCGCACCCUCGCCGGCCGCGGCGCAGCUGGCUGGGCAUGGCGUGGACUACAGCCAGGACAUGCACCUGAAAAUGAGCAAGAAAAUCGCCCAGCUUACUAAGGUAAUAUAUGCUUUGAACACUAAAAAUGAUGAGCAUGAAUCUGCAAUUCAAGCCCUAAAAGAUGCUCAUGAAGAAGAAAUCCAACAAAUUCUUGCAGAAACAAGAGAAAAAAUACUGCAGUAUAAAAGCAAAGUAACAGAGGAGUUAGAGCUUAAGAGAAAGAUUCAAGUUUUAGAAGCAUCCUUAGAAGAUCAUAUAAAAAUGAAGCAACAGGCUUUAACAGAAUUUGAAGCUUAUAAGCACAGAGUUGAGGACAUGCAACUUUGUGCAGAAGCCCAGCAUGUCCAACGCAUAGUAACCAUGUCUAGAGAGGUUGAAGAAAUUAGAAGGAAAUUUGAAGAAAGAUUACGGAGCUUUGGACAGCUCCAAAUACAGUUUGAAAAAGACAAAGGAUUGGCAUUGGAAGAUUUGCGGACUGCUCACAGAAGGGAGAUGCAAGAGCUGUUGAAGUCACAGCAGGAUCACAGUGCCUCAGUAAACAAAGGGCUGGAGAAGACAGAGGAACUACACAGGAUGGAGGUGGAGGCCUUAAACAAAACACUUGAAGAGCUAAGGCUUGAAAAGAAAAAACUCAUUGAAGAUUAUGAAGGCAAGUUGAAUAAAGCUCAGUCUUUUUAUGAACGUGAACUUGAUACUUUGAAAAGGUCACAGCUUUUUACAGCAGAAAGCUUACAGGCUAGCAAAGAGAAAGAAGCUGAUCUUCGAAAAGAAUUUCAGGGACAAGAAGCAAUUUUACGAAAAACCAUAGGAAAAUUAAAGACAGAAUUACAGAUGGUACAGGAUGAAGCUGGCAGUCUUCUUGACAAGUGCCAAAAACUGCAGAUGGCACUGGCCACAGCAGAGAGCAAUGUUCAGGUUCUUCAAAAACAGCUUGAUGAUGCCAAGGAGGGAGAAAUGGCCUUAUUAAGCAAGCACAAAGAAGUGGAAAGUGAGCUAGCAGCUGCCAGAGAACGUCUACAACAGCAAGCUUCUGAUCUUGUCCUCAAAGCCAGUCAUAUUGGAAUGCUUCAAGCAACUCAAAUGACCCAGGAGGUUACAAUUAAAGAUUUAGAAUCAGAAAAAUCAAGGGCCAAUGAGAGAUUAUCUCAGCUUGAGGAGGAAAGAGCUUUUUUGCAAAGCAGAACUCAAAGUUUGGAUGAAGAGCAAAAACAGCAAAUCCUGGAACUAGAGAAGAAAGUAAAUGAAGCAAAGAGAACUCAGCAAGAAUAUUAUGAAAUGGAGUUAAAAAACCUGCAAAAUAGAUUGGAAGGAGAGGUGACUCAAUUAAAUGAAGCCCAUUCUAAGACUUUGGAAGAAUUAGCCUGGAAGCACCAUAUGGCGAUUGAGGCUGUCCACAGCAAUGCAAUUAGAGAUAAGAAAAAACUGCAAAUGGAAUUAGAGGAACAAUAUAAAAAGGAAAAACUAAACCUGGAAGAGGAUAAAAAUCAGCUUCAACUAGAGCUAGAAAACCUGAAGGAAGCCCUGGAAGACAAGCUGAAUACAGCUAAUCAAGAGAUUGGCCGCCUCCAAGAUCUGGUAAGGAAAAGUGAACAAGGUCUUGGCUCUGCUGAAGGACUCAUUGCUAGUCUUCAGGACUCCCAGGAAAGACUUCAGAAUGAGCUUAACUUGACUAAAGGCAGACUGAAAGAAACCAAGGAUGUUCUAGUAAAUGUUGAGGCUGAGCUAGAGCAGGAGAGGCACCAGCAUGAAGAAACACUUGCUGCCAUGAAGGAAGAAGAGAAUCUUAGAGUGGACAAAAUGGCCCAUGAGUUGGAGAUAAAGUGGACUGAAAAUCUUAGACAGGAAUGCUCUAAACUUCGUGAAGAGUUAAGGCUUCAACACGAAGAGGAUAAGAAGUCAGCAAUGUCUCAGCUGCUGCAAUUAAAAGAGCGAGAGAAAAAUGCUGCCAGGGACUCAUGGCAGAAGAAAGUCGAAGAUCUCUUAAACCAGCGGCAUUCUCUGGGUGAAGCUUUGCAUAAAUCUAUCAACAAUAUUUCUUUGCUGAAACAGAAUCUGGAAAUUCAGCUUUCCCAGUCUCAAACUUCUUUGCAACAACUGCAAGCCCAGUUUACACAAGAACGACAAAGACUUACCCAAGAGCUUGAAGAAUUAGAGGAACAACAUCAGCAGAGGCAUAAAUCCUUAAAAGAAGCGCAUGUUCUCGCAUUUCAAACCAUGGAAGAAGAAAAGGAAAAGGAACAAAGAGCUCUUGAAAAUCAUUUACAACAAAAACAUUCUGCAGAGCUUCAGUCAUUGAAAGAUGCACACCGAGAGUCAAUGGAGGGCUUCCGGAUAGAGAUGGAACAGGAACUUCAGACUCUUCGGUUUGAAUUAGAAGAUGAAGGAAAGGCUAUGCUUGCUUCCUUACGCUCAGAACUAAAUCAUCAACAUGCAGCUGCAAUUGAUUUGUUACGGCAUAAUCAUCAUCAAGAAUUGGCAGCUGCUAAAAUGGAAUUAGAGAGAAGCAUAGACAUCAGCAGAAGACAGAAUAAGGAGCACAUGUGUAGAAUAACAGAUCUGCAGGAGGAAUUACGACACAGAGAGCAUCACAUCUCUGACUUGGAUAAGGAGGUACAGCACCUUCAUGAGAACAUAACUGCCCUCACCAAAGAAUUGGAAUUUAAGGGGAAAGAAAUCCUCAGAAUACGAAGUGAAUCUAACCAACAGAUGAGGUUGCAUGAACAAGAUUUAAACAAGAGACUUGAAAAAGAGCUGGAUGUCAUGACAGCAGACCAUCUCAGAGAGAAAAAUAUCAUGCGGGCAGAUUUUAAUAAGACUAACGAACUACUCAAGGAAAUAAAUGCAGCUUUACAAGUGUCACUAGAAGAAGUAGAAGAAAAAUAUCUAAAGAGAGAAUCAAAACCAGAAGAUAUACAGAUGAUUACAGAACUAAAAGCCAUGCUUACAGAGAGAGACCAGGUCAUAAAGAAACUAAUUGAGGAUAAUAAAUUUUAUCAGCUGGAAUUAGUCAAUCGAGAAACUAACUUCAACAAAGUGUUUAACUCAAGUCCUACUGUUGGUGUUAUUAAUCCAUUGGCUAAGGGACUGUCCUCACAUGUAUUAUUUUUAAAACAGCAAAAGAAGAAGAAUGAUAAAUCACCAACAAACAGGUUUGUGAGUGUUCCCAAUCUAAGUGCUCUGGAAUCCAGUGGAGUGGGCAAUGGACAUCCUAACCGCCUGGAUCCCAUUCCUAACUCUCCAGUCCACGAUAUUGAGUUCAACAGCAGCAAACCACUUCCACAGCCAGUGCCACCCAAAGAGCCCAAGACAUUUUUGAGGUAUCAGUAAGAUGCAUGUGCAUGAGCUCAAGGAACAUGACUACUGGAGUUUCCAUUACACAUUGUUGCGUGCCUUGUAAUUUCCCCCAAAGACGUCCUCCUCAGAGUGAAGCUUCCCCGGUGGCUUCUCCAGAUCCCCAGCGCCAGGAGUGGUUUGCCCGGUACUUCACGUUCUGAAAGAAUUGUGUUGACACAGCUCUGUGUGGACUGUUACUAAGAGCAUGACUUUAUACACAUCCUUUUGUGAACAGGCUUUCCUGUGUCAAACACUGUGAAUGAGAAAGUAUUUGUUUUCCAAUUUAAAAAUCCACUGUAUUUCCUGUCAUAUUUAUUGGAAUCACUCUAUAAGGUACUAUAAUAUGUGUGUAAUUAUAGCAGUUAUUUUUUUUGAGAUGGAAGAGUCUUUAAUCUUUAUAAUUACUGCAUAAUAAAUUUUGUUAAAACAAACAAGAAUUCUUUCUUUUUUCUAUUAAAUUUGCUUCCAUUUUUAAAUACUUUUUAAAUUCCAAGUGAGACUUAACAACAAAAGUAUAUUGCAUUAAUGAUUAUGAAAUCAAGUUAUUUGACUUUAUUAAUUAUAAAAAAAGUGAUAAUUCAUUAUUAUGUAUAAUUUUAACUAAAUUGUUCAAAUUUACAAGACUAGAAUUGAAGCAUUUGUGUAAAUUCUGGACUUUGAAGAAUGUAAAAUAAAACAUUAUUUUAGUAAUGCAUAUUUUUAAAGAAUCUGGGUGAACUUGAUGAAUACAAAUAAUACAUGACCAGUGGGUGAUUAUAAUAAUGUUAAAUACCAACUUUUUUUAAAUGGUUACAUAAUAGCCUGUGCUAAGGAGCAGUGUAAGAAUUAUCUCAUUUAAACCUCAUAAAAUCCUGAAGGAAUAAACCAUUGCCUAUGAGUUUGCACAGUU